AUAUAUAUAUAUAUAUAUUUGUUUAACACCUUUUGGUUACUUCAUGAUUCCAUAUGUGUUAUUUCAUAGUUGUGAUGUCUUCACUAUUAUUCUACAACGCAGAGAAAAGUAAAAAUAAAGAAAAACCCUUGAAUGAGUAGUUGUGUCCAAACUUCUGACUGGUACUGUAUAUAUUUAAUGAUCUCGUCAACCAUACUUACAGAGUAAGUGAGUCAACUUACUGGUGUAGCAGUGCAUUGAAACAAGAAGUGUGAUUUUAGUGACUGACACAUUGUGAAAGUAGCCUAGUCAGGGAUUUAAGACAAUCACAUGCAUCAACAGCAUGUCAGAAAGGGAUGUACUGGAUGUACUGCUAAAGACUGCAUAGCUAUUUACAUUUCUUCAUUUGAGGAGUGGGCCUACAUUUUUUAAAGGGGCUAAAUGCAGCCCAUUUCCAAUGUAGUCUUUUCUUUAAAUACAAAUCCACAACAAAGUGUUGACUGUUCUAUAUGGUUUCUUAAUGUGUUGCCUCGCAUAAUGUGACCCAUCACUCAUCAUCAUCUCCAUCAAAGUGCGACUGAAGCGCUCCCUACUGGCAUCUCAACAUUACUGCAGCCUCCUGUCUCUCUUCAUAUGUCCCAAUCAUGUCCUCAUAACCAUUUGGAUCAAUAACAAAAUAACAAACUGUUUAUAAGGUCCACCACUGGAGUCCUGAGGGAAGGAAAGGUCCACCACUGGAGUAAUGAGG
ensembl:lncRNA